GACGAACGCUGGCGGCGUGGAUUAGGCAUGCAAGUCGGACGGUAGGGCUUUAUCGUAAGAUAGAGUUUGAGAGUGGCGAACGGGUGAGUAACACGUAGGAAUCUACCCUUAAGACGGGGACAACCCAGGGAAACUUGGGCUAAUACCGGAUGAGAGUGCGAGAGAUUGCAUUUAAAAGGAUGGCGAAAGUUAUCGCUUAGGGAUGAGCCUGCGGUCUAUUAGUUAGUUGGUGAGGUAAGAGCUCACCAAGGCGAUGAUAGAUAGGCGGCCUUAACGGGUGGUCGCCCACACUGGGAUUGAGAGACGGCCCAGACUCCUACGGGAGGCAGCAGUCGAGAAUAGUCUACAAUGGACGGAAGUCUGAUAGUGCGACGCCGCGUGAACGAAGAAUCCCUUCGGGGUGUAAAGUUCUUUUAUACGUGAGCAGUGCCCUUUAUAUGAAUAGUAUAGAGGAGGAUUUAAGCGUAUGAAUAAGCAACGGCUAACUCCGUGCCAGCAGCCGACGGUAAAC
rnacentral:rRNA from 1 species